rnacentral:rRNA from 1 species
AUUGAACGCUGGCGGCAGGCCUAACACAUGCAAGUCGAACGGUAACAGGAAGAAGCUUGCUUCUUUGCUGACGAGUGGCGGACGGGUGAGUAAUGUCUGGGAAACUGCCUGAUGGAGGGGGAUAACUACUGGAAACGGUAGCUAAUACCGCAUAACGUCGCAAGACCAAAGAGGGGGACCUUCGGGCCUCUUGCCAUCGGAUGUGCCCAGAUGGGAUUAGCUAGUAGGUGGGGUAACGGCUCACCUAGGCGACGAUCCCUAGCUGGUCUGAGAGGAUGACCCGCCACACUGGAACUGAGACACGGUCCAGACUCCUACGGGAGGCAGCAGUGGGGAAUAUUGCACAAUGGGCGCAAGCCUGAUGCAGCCAUGCCGCGUGUAUGAAGAAGGCCUUCGGGUUGUAAAGUACUUUCAGCGGGGAGGAGGGGAGUAAAGUUAAUACCUUUGCUCAUUGACGUUACCCGCAGAAGAAGCACCGGCUAACUCCGUG